GUGAAGUAGAGGCAGUAGAUACAGUAGGUCCAGUAGAUAGAUAGUAGGUGAAGUAGAGGCAGUAGAUACAGUAGGUAUAGAUUCAGUAGGUACAGUAGAUAGAUACAGUAAGUGCAUUAGGUAGACACAUUAGCUACAGUAGGUACAGUAGGUACGGUAGGGAAAGUAGGUAGAUGCAGUAGAUACAGUAGGUACAGUACAUAGAUACAGUAGCUACAGUAGGGGAGGUAGGUAGAUACAGUAGGUGAAGUAGAUACAGUAGAUGCAGUAGGUACAGUGGGUAGAUAAAGUAGGUAGGUACAGUAGGUAGAGAUUCAGUAGGUACAGUAGAUAGAUAGUAGGUGAAGUAGAGGCAGUAGAUACAGUAGGUAUAGAUUCAGUAGGUACAGUAGAUAGAUACAGUAAGUGCAUUAGGUAGACACAUUAGCUACAGUAGGUACAGUAGGUACGGUAGGGAAAGUAGGUAGAUGCAGUAGAUACAGUAGGUACAGUAGGUACAGUACAUAGAUACAGUAGCUACAGUAGGGAAAGUAGGUAGAUACAGUAGAUGCAGUAGAUACAGUAGGUACAGUACAUAGAUACAGUAGCUACAGUAGGGGAAGGUAGGUAGAUACAGUAGGUGAAGUAGAUACAGUAGGUGAAGUAGAUACAGUAGGUGAAGUAGAUACAGUAGAUGCAGUAGGUACAGUGGGUAGAUAAAGUAGGUAGAUACAGUAGGUGAAGUAGAUACAGUAGAUGCAGUAGGUACAGUGGGUAGAUAAAGUAGGUAGAUACAGUAGGUACAGUAGAUGCAGUAGGUACAGCAGCUACAGUAGAUACAGUAGGUUAAGUAG
rnacentral:lncRNA from 1 species